rnacentral:rRNA from 1 species
GUGGGGAAUCUUCCGCAAUGGACGAAAGUCUGACGGAGCAACGCCGCGUGAGUGAUGAAGGUCUUCGGAUUGUAAAGCUCUGUUAAUCGGGACGAAAGAGCCUAGUGUGAAUAAUGCUAGGAAGUGACGGUACCGGAAUAGAAAGCCACGGCUAACUACGUGCCAGCAGCCGCGGUAAUACGUAGGUGGCAAGCGUUGUCCGGAAUUAUUGGGCGUAAAGCGCGCGUAGGCGGAUCUGCCAGUCUGUCUUAAAAGUUCGGGGCUUAACCCCGUGAUGGGAUGGAAACUACAGAUCUAGAGUAUCGGAGAGGAAAGUGGAAUUCCUAGUGUAGCGGUGAAAUGCGUAGAUAUUAGGAAGAACACCAGUGGCGAAGGCGACUUUCUGGACGAAAACUGACGCUGAGGCGCGAAAGCCAGGGGAGCGAACGGGAUUAGAUACCCCGGUAGUCC